rnacentral:sRNA from 1 species
UGGUGAUUCGUUCAGUUGGAUUAAGAUAUUCUAUGUAAAUGGUCUGACAAUUGAGGCUGAUGGAGGAAUCAUUGAUGGCAACGGUUCCACUUGGUGGAAGAAAUGCAGAACAUGCAGAAGGCCAACAUCCUUACGUUUCCAUUCUUGUAAUGGUCUUACUGUUAAAUCUCUAAGUAUGAGUAACAGCCCUGGAGCUCACAUAUCAGUAAAUGGCUGCAAUGGAGCAUUAUUCUCU